rnacentral:rRNA from 1 species
GAUGAACGCUGGCGGCGUGCCUAAUACAUGCAAGUCGAACGCACAGCGAAAGGUGCUUGCACCUUUCAAGUGAGUGGCGAACGGGUGAGUAACACGUGGACAACCUGCCUCAAGGCUGGGGAUAACAUUUGGAAACAGAUGCUAAUACCGAAUAAAACUCAGUGUCGCAUGACACAAAGUUAAAAGGCGCUUUGGCGUCACCUAGAGAUGGAUCCGCGGUGCAUUAGUUGGUUGGUGGGGUAAAGGCCUACCAGGACAAUGAUGCAUAGCCGAGUAGAGAGACUGAUCGGCCACAUUGGGACUGAGACACGGCCCAAACUCCUACGGGAGGCUGCAGUAGGGAAUCUUCCACAAUGGGCGAAAGCCUGAUGGAGCAACGCCGCGUGUGUGAUGAAGGCUUUCGGGUCGUAAAGCACUGUUGUAUGGGAAGAACAGCUAGAAUAGGGAAUGAUUUUAGUUUGACGGUACCAUACCAGAAAGGGACGGCUAAAUACGUGCCAGCCGCCGCAGUAA